rnacentral:rRNA from 1 species
AGCGAACGCUGGCGGAAUGCUUAACACAUGCAAGUCGCACGGGGGCUUCGGCCUUAGUGGCGGACGGGUGAGUAACGCGUAGGAAUGUGUCCGAGGAUGGGGGAUAACGUUGGGAAACUGACGCUAAUACCGCAUAACUCCUGAGGGAGAAAGCCGUAAGGCGUCUACGGAGCAGCCUGCGUACGAUUAGCUAGUUGGUUAGGUAAAGGCUGACCAAGGCGACGAUCGUUAGCUGGUCUGAGAGGAUGAUCAGCCACACUGGAACUGAGACACGGUCCAGACUCCUACGGGAGGCAGCAGUGGGGAAUAUUGGACAAUGGGCGCAAGCCUGAUCCAGCAAUUCCGCGUGGGUGAAGAAGGUCUUCGGAUUGUAAAGCCCUUUCGUUGGGGACGAUGAUGACGGUACCCAAAGAAGAAGCCCCGGCUAACUUCGUG